CGUAACGAGCGCAACCCUUGUCCUUAGUUACCAGCACGUAAUGGUGGGCACUCUAAGGAGACUGCCGGUGACAAACCGGAGGAAGGUGGGGAUGACGUCAAGUCAUCAUGGCCCUUACGGCCUGGGCUACACACGUGCUACAAUGGUCGGUACAGAGGGUUGCCAAGCCGCGAGGUGGAGCUAAUCCCAGAAAACCGAUCGUAGUCCGGAUCGCAGUCUGCAACUCGACUGCGUGAAGUCGGAAUCGCUAGUAAUCGCGAAUCAGAAUGUCGCGGUGAAUACGUUCCCGGGCCUUGUACACACCGCCCGUCACACCAUGGGAGUGGGUUGCACCAGAAGUAGCUAGCCUAACCUUCGGGAGGACGGUUACCACGGUGUGAUUCAUGACUGGGGUGAAGUCGUAACAGGGUAACC
rnacentral:rRNA from 1 species